GAUCUUAAUCUUCUUUUCUAUAUCAUGGUAUGUCUCUUAUGACUCAAUUAUAGAAGCUGCAGAAGUGCAGAUGAGUUGGGCGCUAUUAGCCAUUCCUAUACUACUUCUAAUGGCAGUCCACUUGGUGUCAUCCAUGGAAAAUUCUGACCUCUUCUCUGCUUCCUCGCCCUAUGGUUAUCGCCGCCGCAGCUACCAUAGUCCUCAGGAAGGCAGCUCUCCAUGGGGCGUGGCUGCUUUAAUUGUGUUGUUGCUUAUUAUGGUGCAAUACCAGUCUGUGUUCCAUGAUAGCUGGCUUGUUUAGUAUGUUAAUUGUUACUGAGUAUGAUGUGUUUAGGUUGAAAUAUGUGAUUUGAAUAACUGGGUUUUGUGUAUAAUAUGACUAUAGUGAGUUAAAUUAUCUGUUUUUAGGGUUUGGAUU
rnacentral:lncRNA from 1 species